UACGUAGGGACCGAGCGUUGUCCGGAUUCAUUGGGCGUAAAGAGCUCGUAGGCGGCCACUCAAGUCGAAUGUGAAACCUCGAGGCUUAACCUCGAGCCUGCAUUUGAUACUGGGCGGCUAGAGUCUGGUAGGGGGAUCUGGAAUUCCGGGUGUAGCGGUGGAAUGCGUAGAGAUCCGGAAGAACACCGGUGGCGAAGGCGCCUGCUGGGCAG
rnacentral:rRNA from 1 species